GUGCUUGCUUCAGCAACACAUAUACUAAAAUUAGAAAAAUGCAGAGAAGAUUAGCAUGAGCAAGGAUGACACGGAAGUUCGUGAAACGUUCCAUUAAAAA
rnacentral:snRNA from 1 species